rnacentral:rRNA from 1 species
CGAAAAACCCAAAGGCGCAAUGAAAGUGAAGGAGAGCUCUGCUUUCCGAGGGAGGAUGGGCCGGUCCACGCGGCCGGUCCCGCACUCCCGGGGCGCCUCCGGCUCAUUGCGAGCGGAGGCGCACCCAGAGCGUACGCGCUGGGACCCGAAAGAUGGUGAACUAUGCCUGGCCAGGACGAAGCCAGGGGAAACCCUGGUGGAGGUCCGUAGCGAUUCUGACGUGCAAAUCGAUCGUUAGAGCUUGGUAUAGGGGCGAAAGACCAAUCGAACCAUCUAGUAGCUGGUUCCUUCCGAAGUUUCCCUCAGGAUAGCUGGCGCUCAUGUGAGACGAGUCUCAUCUGGUAAAGCGAAUGAUUAGAGGCCUUGGGGUCGAAACGACCUCAACCUAUUCUCAAACUUUAAAUAGAUGAGAACCCCGGCUUGCUUAAGGUGAAGCCGGGGCCUUGGAUCCGAGUGCCAAGUGGGCCAAUUUUG